rnacentral:rRNA from 1 species
UACGUAGGUGGCAAGCGUUGCCCGGAUUUACUGGGCGUAAAGAGCGCGCAGGCGGUCGAUCAAGUCGCGUGUGAAAGCCCCCGGCUCAACUGGGGAGGGUCACGCGAUACUGAUCGACUCGAAGGCAGGAGAGGGUAGUGGAAUUCCCGGUGUAGUGGUGAAAUGCGUAGAUAUCGGGAGGAACACCAGUGGCGAAGGCGACUACCUGGCCUGUUCUUGACGCUGAGGCGCGAAAGCUAGGGGAGCAAACGGG